AAUUUGUUGUGGGCAAAUGAAAUGAAUAUGAGCGUCCACACCACCGGGGGUUAAAAUUUGCCCUUCACCGGCAAUUAUUUCGGUGCCCGGUGCAAUUUCUAUGGUAACUCCUUGUUGAGUGUCUGGGUUCCCCGCCUUACCAAUUGCCAGAAUGCGUCCGGCUUUAAUGGCCACAUCGGCUUUUACGAUACCCCAAUAAUCUAAAAUUAGUGCGUUGGUAAUAACGGUAUCGGGAAUGUCACUCUCUUGAUUUGAAGAGGCGCCUUUUAAAGAAGCUGAUUGGCUUUGACCCAUGCCAUCGC
rnacentral:sRNA from 1 species